rnacentral:rRNA from 1 species
UGCGGUGUUUAUUACAGCGGGGAUCCACCUGUUCCCAUUCCGAACACAGUAGUUAAGCUCGUUUGUGCCGAAGAUACUUGGAGGGCAGCCUCCCGGAAAAAUAGGUCAAUGCCGCAA